rnacentral:rRNA from 1 species
UACGAAGGGGGCUAGCGUUGUCCGGAUUUAUUGGGCGUAAAGAGCGUGUAGGCGGCCAGGUAGGUCCGUUGUGAAACUGGAGGCUUAACCUCCAGCUGUCGAUGGAAACCAUCUGGCUAGAGUCCGGAAGAGGAGAGUGGAAUUCCUGGUGUAGCGGUGAAAUGCGCAGAUAUCAGGAAGAACACCCGUGGCGAAGGCGGCUCUCUGGGACGGUACUGACGCUGAGACGCGAAAGCGUGGGGAGCGAACAGG